GUCCAGACUCCUACGGGAGGCAGCAGUGGGGAAUAUUGCACAAUGGGGGAAACCCUGAUGCAGCAACGCCGCGUGAGUGAAGAAGUAUUUCGGUAUGUAAAGCUCUAUCAGCAGGGAAGAAAAUGACGGUACCUGAGUAAGAAGCCCCGGCUAACUACGUGCCAGCAGCCGCGGUAAUACGUAGGGGGCAAGCGUUAUCCGGAUUUACUGGGUGUAAAGGGAGCGUAGACGGCGAUGCAAGUCUGAAGUGAAAGCCCGGGGCUCAACCCCGGGACUGCUUUGGAAACUGUAUGGCUGGAGUGCUGGAGAGGCAAGCGGAAUUCCUAGUGUAGCGGUGAAAUGCGUAGAUAUUAGGAAGAACACCAGUGGCGAAGGCGGCUUGCUGGACAGUAACUGACGUUGAGGCUCGAAAGCGUGGGGAGCAAACAGGAUUAGAUACCCCAGUA
rnacentral:rRNA from 1 species